CUCAGCCUCCCAAAGUGCUGGGAUUCCAGGCGUGAGCCAUCGCGCCUGACAAAAUUUUUUAAGUUAUUCUGGAUGCCAGUUUGAGCCUGAUGCUUAACAGGAUGGAAUAUUUGGAGGUCUUGAGAAGAGGGUGAUUGUAUAUUCCAUGUAAGAGGAAUGUAAAUAGUUUGUGUCUAGAAGGAAGAUUGUAACAGAUUAAGAUGUACGAAUUCCUUCUCACCUAUUGAGAGAAACGGGGUCUAUUUCUUUUCCUUUUGAAUCUAUAUGGGUUUUGUGAUUUCACCAAUGAAUAGAAUACCUCUGCCAGUUUUUGGGCCUAGGACUUAAGAAACUGGCAGCUUCUACUUCCUGUUUUUUAACGCAUCCACUCUUGGAACCCAAAUGACAAUCUGCGAAGAAGACUAAGGGGCCCCACGGAGAGGCCCACAUGGAGAAAACUCAAUCCCCCCUCACCCGCUAUCCCAGGCUGUCAGCCAGCACCACCUUGUCUUGCCAGCCAUGUGAGUGAGCCAUGUUGGAAGUGAAUCCUCCAGGCCCGGUGAGCCAUUUAAACUGACUGAAGACAGCAGCUCUGUCCAUGUGCACAGAGAGUGGGAAGUGCCUGAAAAUUUACAUUUUCCUAGGUAGUGCUUUGCUAAUGACUGACCGGUGUGGAUGUAUAAAAGUCCAGCUCCGUGAUCUCAGACUUCCGGCCUCCAGAACUCAGGCCCUGACAUUGUAUAAGCUUCAGGCCCCACAAAACCUGGAUCUGCCCUGCCAGGAUCAGCAUCUAGAGGAAAACUACUACUUCCACAAUAGCACAACCAAUCUGAUCAUCCCUGCAUCAGUGAGCAUUCUCCAGAGAAACAGAGCCAACAGGAUAUGUGUAUAUAUGUGAAGAAAGACUUAUUUUAAGGAGUUGGCUCAUGCAAUUAUGGAGGUGCAAGUCCAAAAUCUGUAGGGCAGGCAGAUGGGCAGACUGGAGACCCAGAGAAGAGUUGCAGUUCAAGUCCAAAGUCGGUUGGAAGAAUUCCCUCUUGCUGGGUAACACUGGGGAAGCAGGAGUAGAUGGAAAGGGGAGGUGUCAGGCUUUGCUCUACCAAGGACUUCAACUGAUUGGAUGAGGCCCAGUAACAUUAUGGAGGGAAACCUGCUUUGCUCAGAGUUUACUGAUUUAAAUAUUAAUCUCAUCCACAAAAAAAUAAAUAACCUUCACAGAAACAUUUAGAAUAUUUGACCAAAUAUCUAAGUCCCAUGGCUCAGACAACUUAACACAUAAAAUUAUCCAUCACAAUUCCAUUAUCCCAAUACAGGUCGGCAGGGCCUUGGGCAGGUGGUAACCUCAGCUCUGGAGUCUACAGCAAUACUCUCACACUUAACAGAUGUAGUUCUGUGGGUCCAGGUCCCACUUCGCAAGAGAGAAUCUGAUGGGCUAAUUUCGACCAAGUCUCCUUUCCUAGUUCAAUCACGUGUAAGGGUUAGAGAAAGGGUUGGGCUCACAAGGGACUUAGGGCUGCCUCUCUGGACUUGGGAGAGCAGGACUUCUCAAGAGAUAAAUGGUUAGAGAGUAAUAUAAUUUGGAUAUUUGUCCCCUAUAAAUCUCAUGUUGAAAUUUGAUGUUCAAUGUUGAGGGCAGGUCUGGGACCUCCCUCCCUGCUUUUGCUCCCCCUCUCGCCAUAUGGCACAACUGCUCCCUUCACCUUCUGCUAUGAAUGGAAGCUUCCUGAGGCCUUCACCAAAAGCGGAGGCUGGUACCAUGCUUCACGCACAGCCUGCAGAAUCAUGAGCCAAAUAAACUACUUUUCUUUAUAAAUCA